AUUGAACGCUGGCGGCAUGCCUUACACAUGCAAGUCGAACGGCAGCACGGGAGCAAUCCUGGUGGCGAGUGGCGAACGGGUGAGUAAUAUAUCGGAACGUGCCCAGUCGUGGGGAUAACGUAGCGAAAGCUACGCUAAUACCGCAUACGAUCUAUGGAUGAAAGCGGGGGAUCGCAAGACCUCGCGCGAUUGGAGCGGCCGAUAUCAGAUUAGGUAGUUGGUGAGGUAAAGGCUCACCAAGCCGACGAUCUGUAGCUGGUCUGAGAGGACGACCAGCCACACUGGGACUGAGACACGGCCCAGACUCCUACGGGAGGCAGCAGUGGGGAAUUUUUGGGACAAAUGGGCGCAAGCCUGAUCCAGCAAUGCCGCGUGCAGGAUGAAGGCC
rnacentral:rRNA from 1 species